rnacentral:rRNA from 1 species
UACGUAGGGUGCGAGCGUUAAUCGGAAUUACUGGGCGUAAAGCGUGCGCAGGCGGUUCUCCAAGUCCGUUGUGAAAGCCCCGGGCUCAACCUGGGAAUGGCAGUGGAAACUAGGGGACUUGAAUCUGGCAGAGGGGGGUGGAAUUCCACGUGUAGCAGUGAAAUGCGUAGAGAUGCGGCGGAACACCGAUGGCGAAGGCAGCCCCCUGGGCUGAGAUUGACGCUCAGGCACGAAAGCGUGGGGAGCAAACAGG